AUUGAACGCUGGCGGCAGGCCUAACACAUGCAAGUCGAACGAGUGGCGGACGGGUGAGUAAUGUCUGGGAAACUGCCCGCUGGAGGGGGAUAACUACUGGAAACGGUAGCUAAUACCGCAUACCAUCGGAUGUGCCCAGAUGGGAUUAGCUAGUAGGUGGGGUAAAGGCUCACCUAGGCGACGAUCCCUAGCUGGUCUGAGAGGAUGACCAGACACACUGGAACUGAUGCACGGUCCAGACUCCUACGGGAGGCAGCAGUGGGGAAUAUUGCACAAUGGGCGCAAGCCUGAUGCAGCCAUGCCGCGUGUGUGAAGAAGGCCUGCGGGUUGUAAAGUACUUUCAGCGAGGAGGCGUUACUCGCAGAAGAAGCACCGGCUAACUCCGUGCCAGCCGCCGCGGUAAUUC
rnacentral:rRNA from 1 species